UCGUGUGCCAGGGAGGAGGCGGGAGGAGGGACACCGCUGGGAGGCUGUCCCCUCCCAGUGCUCCUCUGGCUGGUGUUCCCAGGGGCCUUGGCCCGGGGAGGAUGGUGCACACAUGGGUGGCUGCUUCUGCAUCCCUUGGGAGCCGAGUCUGUCCUGGGGGCCAGGUAAAGGAACUUCUUCCAAGGAUCCAACCAUAUCCAGUGAGAUUAUAUCCUCAUCUGAAAACAAGGAAAAAUGUUUCCUGCCACAGAAUAUGACUCCAGAUCUGACACUCUCCUUCAGUGUGAAGAGCCGCUCCAGGAGGUGUGUAAAUGGCCCCUUGCAAGAAGCAGCCAGGAGGCGGCUCUGGGCGCUGGAGAAUGAGGACCAGGAGGUGCGUGCAUUGUUUAAGGACCUCUCAGCCAGGUUGGUGUGUAUCCAGUCCCAGAAGGCCCAGUUCCUCAUUACCUUCAAGACCAUGGAGGAAAUCUGGAAGUUCUCCACCUACCUGAACUUAGGCUACGUAUCCAUGUGUCUGGAGCAUCUCCUCUUUGACCACAAGUACUGGCUCAACUGCCGACUGGUGGAGGAUACAGAGAUCCACGUGUCAGUAGAUGAUAAACACCUGGAAACAAUAUACCUGGGACUUCUGAUCCAGGAAGGUCACUUCUUCUGCAGAGCCACGUGCUCCAUGGCUCAGCCAGCUGAGAAGGUAGGGGAGUAUUUGACACUUUGCAAGAAUGAGUUAAUCUCGGUGAAGACAGCUGAAGGCGAGUUCGAGUGGGAAGGCAUGUCCUUGGUGACGGGUCAGCGGGGCUUGGUGCCGGUGUCAGCCUUGGAACCCCUGCCUCUCCCUUUCCACCAAUGGUUCCUAAAGAAUUAUCCAGGAAGCUGUGGCCUUUCCAGGAAGAAGGAUUGGACAGGCUCCUAUCAGAUCGGAAGAGGAAAAUGUAAGGCCUGGAAGGAAUAUGAGAGGGAAGAAAAGGAUGAACUGAAUUUACACCAGGGAGAAAGCAUUGAGAUCAUCGGCUUUGUCAUUCCUGGGCUUCAGUGGUUCAUUGGGAAGUCAGCGCUCUCAGGAGAAGUGGGCUUUGUCCCCACCAGGAACAUAGAUCCUGAUUCUUAUUCCCCAAUGAGCAAGAACUCCACCUUUUUCAGUGAUGAGGAAAGAUGCUCUCUGGGGGUCCCGGGAAGUGACAGGAAAGCUGAGUGUGCCAGCUUCCUCCACACGCUUGCUCAGACUGACAUAACAUCUGUCUACCGGCUUAGUGGGUUUGAAUCCAUCCAGAGUCUUCCAAACGAUCUGAGCGCGUCCCAGCCCGAAGGCUUCAAGGAGACCCGGCCUGGUGGAGCCUGGGAGGAGCAUCAGGCCGUGGGCUCCAGACAGUCCAGCAGCUCUGAGGACUCCAGCCUGGAGGAGGAGCUCCUUUCAGCCGCCUCAGACACCUAUCACCUGCCAGAGCCUGAUGACCUCGAUGACCCGGAACUGCUCAUGGACCUGAACACCGGUCAGGAGGAGGAGGAGGCUGAGAACUUCACCCCCAUAUUGGCUUUUCUGGAUCACGAGGGUUAUGCUGACCACUUUAAGAGCCUCUAUGAUUUUUCCUUCUCUUUCCUCACGACUUCCUUUUACAGCUACUCUGAGGAGGAUGAGCUCGUGGCCUACCUGGAGGCCUCGAGGAAGUGGGCCAAGCGGAGCCACAUGACCUGGGCCCAUGCCCGGCUCUGUUUCCUCCUGGGCCGGCUAAGUGUUAGGAAGGUCAAACUCUCUCAGGCCAGGGUGUACUUUGAGGAGGCCAUCCACAUUCUCAAUGGGGCAUUUAAGGACCUAUCCUUGGUGGCUGCCCUGUACAUCAAUUUGGCGGCCAUCUACCUGAGGCAGAGGCUGAGGCAUAAAGGCUCGGGCCUGUUGGAAAAGGCAGGUGCCAUGUUGGUCUGCCUGCCUGACCGAGAGUAUAGUGCCAAGAGCGAGCUGGAUGUGGUGGCCUAUGUGCUGAGACAGGGCAUCGUGUCGGGCAGCUGCCCCCUGGAGGCCAGAGCCUGCUUCCUGGCCGUCCGAUUGCUCCUAAGCCUCGGCCGGCACGACGAGGUCCUGCCCUUCGCUGAGCGCCUGCAGCUCCUCUCUGGACACCCUCCCACCUCGGAUGCUGCAGCCACUAUCUUGAGUUUUCUCUAUGACAAGAAAUAUCUGCCACACCUUGCAGUGGCUUCUGUCCGGCAACGGGGCACUCAGAGCACCCAAGGGAUGGCCCUUCCAAUUUGGCAGGUCCACCUGGUCCUCCAGAACACCACCAAGCUCCUUGGCAUCCCCUCCCCAAGCUGGGGUGAAGUUUCUGCCCUGGCGUGCCCAGCACUCAGGCAGGCCCUGGCUGCCUGUGAGGAGCAGGUGGAUGAGCGGACCCGGAGGACCCUGUGUCUCAUCCUGUCCAAAGUGUACCUCCAGCAUAGGUCUCCUGACGGUGCCAUCCACUACCUGAGCCAAGCCUUGAUGCUAGGCCAGCUGCUGAGUGAGCAGGAAGCUUUUGAGUCUUCCCUCUGCUUGGCGUGGGCCUAUCUCUUAGCCAGCCAGGCAAAGAAGGCUUUGGACAUCCUCGAGCCACUCUUAUACUCCCUGAAGGAGACAGAGAGUGUUACCCGAAAGGGAGUGGUCCAUAACCUCCUGGGACUUGCGCUUCAAGGUGAAGGCCGGGUGAACAGGGCAGCCAACAGCUACCUUCGGGCCUUGAACAGAGCUCAGGAGGCAAGGGAUGUGCGCAACCAGGCGGUGGCUUUGGCCAAUCUUGGCCAUCUGACCCUUAAAUCCUGGACUCAGCAGCCAGCCAGGGACUAUCUUCUGCAGGCUGUGCAACUCUAUUCUAAACUCCAGGCCAGCAUGGAGACAGACAUGGAAUUAGUACAGGUGCUUCUCUGGUUGGCCCAAGUUGAGGUCUAUCGACGCCAGCUGGCCAGUGGCCGCUUUUGUUAUGAAAUGGCAUUGCUGUUCGGAUUAAGGCAUCAACACCUAAAGAGUCAGCUUCAGGUCACCAAAUCCCUCUGCCAUUUCUACAGCUCUGUGUCCCCAAGCCCUGAGGCAUGUAUCACCUACCACGAGCACUGGCUGGCCCUGGCUCAGCAACUCAGGGACCGGGAGAUGGAGGGGAGGCUGCUGGAGUCCCUUGGGCAGCUCUAUCGGAACCUAAAUACGGCCAGGUCCCUUAGGAGGUCCCUCACCUGCAUCAAGGAGAGCCUGCGUAUCUUCGUUGACCUGGGGAAGAGAGACAAGGCUGCUGAGGCCUGGCUUGGGGCUGGGCGACUCCACUACCUCAUGCAGGAAGACGAGCUGGUGGAGCUGUACCUGCAGGCAGCCAUCCAGAAAGCCCUGAAGUCAGAGGAGCCCUCCCUGGCUCUCAGGCUCUACGAGGAAUCAGGUGAUGUGUUCUUCAAUGGGACCCGCCACAGGCAUCGUGCGGUGGAGUAUUACCGAGCUGGGGCUGUUCCCUUAGCAAGGAGGAUGAAGGCAGUGAGAACCGAGCUCCGGAUUUUCAACAAGCUGACCGAGCUGCAGAUCAGCCUGGAAGGCUAUGAGAAGGCUUUGGAAUUUGCCACCUUGGCGGCCAGACUCAGCACAGUCGCAGGAGAUCAGAGGCAGGAGCUAGUGGCCUUCCACCGUCUGGCGACUGUGUACUAUUCCCUGCACAUGUACGAGAUGGCUGAGGACUGCUACCUGAAGACUCUGUCCCUCUGUCCACCCUGGUUGCAGAGCCCCAAGGAGGCCUUAUACUAUGCCAAGGUGUAUUAUCGUCUGGGCCGACUCACCUUCCACCAGCUGAAGGUUCCUUUUCAGAAAUUUCCAAGCUGGUUAUUUCCAAGCCAUAUGAACAGGAAGAGAGACUUGUAUCUGGAAGAUGAAAUCAUGUUUUUAUGGCCCAGUUAUUUUCUCUUCUUUUUUACAGGUAUUUGAGAAGAGUGUUUGUUUGUGUGAAGAAGAUAAUGAAUUCAGCUUGGAACACGUAGAGCAAACACUUAGAGUUUUCAUCCAACUGGAUGUGAAACCAGUUUAAUGUCCAUAUUGUCCACUUGACGUUAUGCGCCAUGAGGUCAGAGAUUGUCUGGGUCACCCCUGUACCCACAGCAUGAGAACAGUGCCUGACCCACAGAAGAUUCCAUUCACUGAAGAAAAAAUUAACCUCAUUCUGUGGAUGAAGAAACUGAGUCUUGGAGACAUAAGUCUUUAUCUCCUGGAUCCUCUGCAGUGAUGAGCGGGCCUUGGCUUUCGAAGGAGGAUUUGUGAUCGAAUCAAUUUGCUCUUCUGGCCCCUGAAUCAUUAGGUUAAGUUCUGACUCUCAGCUGACCUUACCUGGAGAUGGGGAGGGACAGACCCGGGAUUUCAGGCCUGGAUGGGGCUGCAGCCAAGCUAGACCUCUACCUUGGGGUGUGGCCAUGAGCUUAACCUCUUCCUCCCUGGGCUGCCUACCUCAUGGGGCUGUUAGGAAGAGAACAUGAGACCAAGUAUUUGGAGCUGAAAUGCCUGCCACUGAAGGAGCUGUUAUGACCAUUCGUGCCCUCCCUGUCAGCAGAAGCAAUGAGGCACGUGAACAGGGACCAUCAACCAUGCUGGCCAGCUGACUCCAGAGCACGGGCUGACCCAGGGCUGACCCUGCUCUGACAUGCUUGCAUUUACUCAACAGUCAGACUGCUUUCUGAGAGGGAAAACCUGCCGCUCAUAAAAUAGUGUCACAAACAAGAUUUCAUGUUGAUUUUUACAGUCACCCCCAGAGUAAUCAUUAUCAUGACUGUUUUGGUAAGGAGGACACUAAAGCCGGGACCUGUGAAACAGAUCUGUCCCAGGGUGACCAGGCUGGAAUUAGCUCAUGUGAUUGUGGAGGUUGCCAAGUCCAAAAUCUGCAGGACAGUUCAGCAGGAUGAAGACCCAGGGAAGAGUUGAUGUUGCAGCUUGAAUCCCAAGGCUGUCUGGAGUCCAUUGGUCAGAACCAGCAGGAGGCUCCACCCAGCUCAAGGCAGUGUGCGCAGAGGUGGUGGGACGGGCCGGGAUUAUCAUCUUCCCUUUCGCCUGGAAAGAAGAGGACUGAAAAGGGUCAUUUCCUCUUUGCCAGGCACUAGAACGGUGAAGGUCCUAGAAGGGAUUAGAAGUCUUAAGGGCAGGAGAGAAGCUCUGCUGAGGGGCUCAGUGUGGAAAAAAAUCCGACUCAAAAAAUAACAACAACAGGGACUUCCCUGGUGGCACAACGUUUAAGAAUCCGCCUGCCAAUGCAGGGGACGUGGGUUCAAUCCCUGGUCCAGGAAGAUCCCACAUGCCACAGAGCAACUAAGCCCGUGUGCCACAACCACUGAGCCUGUGCUCUAGAACCUGCAAGCCACAACUACUGAGCCCACAUGCCGCACCUACUGAAGCCCGCGUGCCUAGAGCCUGUGCUCUGCAACAAGAGAAGUCACUGCAAUGAGAAGCCCGCGCACCGCAACGAAGAAUAGCCCCCACUCUCCACAGCUAGAGAAAGCCUGUGUGCAGCAAUGAAGACCCGAUGCAGCCAAAAAUAAUAAAUAAAAUAAAUAACUUUAUAAAAAAAAUAACAACAACAAUA